CUUUUUGCGAAGUGGGCUCGUGGGUUGGCAGUAUGAGAGUUGUAAUGGCCCGACUGUUGAGUGAGGGGGAGCAGGGGAUCCCAACGGCUUGCGCUGCCUUUGCGCAGCAGCCGGCGGGCGGCCACGUCGCGGCCUGGCUGGGGAGUUGUAAGACGUUCAUCGCCGUGUUAUCCUUGAGUAAAGCGGGCUUUUGCCAUGUUGUCCAGGCUGGUCUCUACUCCUGGGCUCAAGCAGUCCUCCUGCCUCAGUCUCCCAAAGUGCUGGAAUUACAGGGAAUGAACUCUGGAAGCCCAGCCAGGGACAAUGCACCUUCACAGAGAUUCUGCACUAAUCUGAGUGAAGGUCUAAGGUUUGGAAUCUCCCCCUCAUGGAGAGAAGCUUUGUAUGGCUGUCAUGCUUAGACAGUGAUUCCUGCAACUUGACCUUCAGGCUGGGAGAGGUGGAGAGCCAUGCCUGUUCUCCUUCCUUGCUAUGGAAUUUGCUGACACAAUAUCUUCCGCCUGGUGCUGGGCAUAUCCUAAGAACUUACAACUUUCCUGUAUUAUCCUGUGUGAGCAGCUGUCACCUUAUUGGGGGAAAAAUGCCUGAAAAUUAGGGGGCACUUCAAGUAGAUAGCUUCUAUUUCCUAUAUUUGUCUUAUAUACAAGUAUUUGCUUUUAUCAAAAUAAUUCCAAUAAAGCAUUUUAAAGUAAA
rnacentral:lncRNA from 1 species